rnacentral:lncRNA from 1 species
UAUUUUAUCUUUAUACAUGUCUAUAAGUGAUUGGUAGGUUGAAAACUUAGCCAACAAAGAGGCCACAUUGUCGUAAUACGUGAAGUCUUGCUUGAGAAUGCUCCGGGCACUUGGCUCUGGAAGGUAGAAUGGAAAUUGCAACAAAAAAAUCCUAAUUCUAAUAAAAUACUAACAAUGCUCUAAUUAGACCAUAAUAAUGCUAAGCAAGCUUUAAUCAAAUUCAAAGAAACUUCAAAGAAAUUUCAAAGAAAUAUUAAGAACUCUUAAAGAAAUAUUAGAAUGAUCACAAAUAUCUCUCAAAUACACCUCAAUUCAAUCUUAUUUUAAUCCUAGUUAAAAUCCUAUAGAACUUCAUUCAAACUUUAGGUCAAAACUAAUUAAAUCUUAAAUCCUAAAUAAACCCUAAUAAAAUCUUAAAUCCUAAAUCAAACCCUAAAUUCUAAACCAAAUCCUAAAUCCUAAACCAAAUCCUAACCAAAUCCUAAACCCUAAACCAAACCCUAAACAAAUCCUAAAUCCUAAACAAAUCCUAAACCACACCCCAACCAAAUCCUAAAUCCUAAAUCAAACUCUAAAUCUUAAUCCAAAUUCCAACCAAAUCCUAAAUCUUAAAUCCUAAAUCAAAUCCUAAUCAAAUCCUAACUCUGAAUCAAAUCCUAACCAAAUUUUAAAUCCUAAAUCAAAUCCUAAACCUAAACCAAAUCCUAACCAAAUCCUGAACCAUAAACCAAAUCCUAACUAAAUUCUAAAUCAAAUCCUAAACAAAUCCUAAACUAAAUUCUAAUCAAAUUCUAAACUAAAUCCUAAUCAAAUCCUAAACCAAAUCCUAAUCAAAUCCUAAAUCAAAUCCUAAAUCCUAAAUCAAACCCUAAUCAAAUC